AUCCAGCAUCUCUCCACUGCGUGUAGCGUGCUCGUUACAGCGAUUACGUUUGCUCGGCGAUUUAGGCAGUGAUCGAUUGUUGUUCGCGCUCCUGUACAAUUAUCAUCUUGCGUAGCUUGUACGUGACCUGGAUCAUUUCCUGUAUCACGGCAGUCGAAAGUGUGAACUGCGGUACACGACAGACGAGAGCCCAGUCAUCAAAGUGUCCAGGAAAAACGUCGCGUUGUCAUUAGUCUCACGGUUCAGAAAGUGUGAAAUUUGAAAGUCGCGAUAAGAAAACGUCCAGCCGGCCCGUGUGACGCAACGUUUCCAUUAUAUGGUCUUUUGAGAAUCCACUUAGGGAGCCAUAGAUCUCAUACUAUCCCAAAUAUCAAAGAUUGAAUCAAUCGCGAGAAAAUAAUUGUCUUAAUUGCGCAAGAAUAGACAACUGAAAUAAAUCAAAUCUUACCGCAAAGAGAUUGUCAUAAAGACGACUGAAGUUUCCAAGAGAUGCAAUUAGAAUGAAGCUAAUCUUCCUGUUGCUGCUGAUAGUUAGUUCCGCUUUUUGCAUGCCCUGGCUUGAUUUAUGGUUUCCUCAGCAGUCGUACGGCGGUCGCAACACCGGAUACUAUGAGCAAAACGGCCCGUAUCGACCGUACCGUCAAGGCAGAGGCGGUAAGGAACGUUGGAAGCAAAUCUGCAGAACGAUAAAUGCCGAUUCCUACGCGUUCCCGGGACGCGUGCCCUAUCCCGCCGCACCCGUCUGUCCCUGGUGAAGGAAACUUCUGUCUGUCGAUGUCAAAGGCAAAUCGAGAAGCGUGCGUUAAAAAUAUGAAUUUAUUGUAACAACGUAGCUUCACAGUAUACGUCCACUGAUUACGAGUAUUUCAUCAGUCGGUGUGUUCACGUGUACAUGCGCGUAUUCGUGUACGAGAAUACCAGCGAACUAGUAUACACAUAUAUUAUACAAAUAUAAUCGCGAUUAUACAUAGAGUAAUCUAGCUAGCUACUUACUCACGCAUUCACCAUGUAAAGUACGAAGCGAGGGAAUAACCGUAAAUUGCGUCUUUCGCGUACACGAAUCUUGCUCUUUUCUCGGCCCGUACUCGCACCUGCGUUGGACUGAGGAACAGAAAGGAACAGGGAGAAAUAGGCGCUAUCGAACUUGCCAUAUCAAUACGGUUUUGCGAGAUGGAGGAUAAUUUCGCGAGAUUGCACCACUGCCAGUAAUUUAGUGCUAAAGUAAUAAAAAAAGGAAAAAUUUUAACGCUACACAAAGAAAAUCCGUGAAAACGUAAUCUAUACGGAUCACUUCUUUAAAUGUCCUACGAAAUACUCCGUUCCGCUGCAAAAUAAUUUUGCACAAGUUUCUCUUUCCCUCUGGAGUUAAAUUUGUGGUGCUAUACGGACCUCACAAGUAUCAGUUAAUUUAGAUGGUUUUGUUUUUUCAAAGGCCUGUCUCUAUCGAUCUUCUGUAAAAUCGGCAUACUAAGCCUGUCAUAUCUGCCUAAUACAUCAGUAAUACUCUGAGUUCUCUCUUUCUCUCUUCUUACGUACAAAAAUAAAUUAUAUACACUA